rfam:Oryza rufipogon genomic scaffold, chr03
AAAAAGACAAACCCUAGAUUUCCGUGUCCAAUUUUAAUUGUCCAUCUUAUAUAAAUUUUUUUAUAAUUCAUAUAUUUAUUAUUGUUAGAUGAUAAAACAUGAUUAAUAUUUUAUGCGUGAUUUGUCUUUUUAAUUUUUUUCAUAAUUUUUUCAAAUAAGACGGACGGUCAAAUAUUAGGCACGAAAACUAGAGUUUGUCUUUUUU